UUCGUCACACUAUCAUUAACUGAAUCCAUAGGUUAAUGAGGCGAACCGGGGGAACUGAAACAUCUAAGUACCCCGAGGAAAAGAAAUCAACCGAGAUUCCCCCAGUAGCGGCGAGCGAACGGGGAGCAGCCCAGAGCCUGAAUCAGUGUGUGUGUUAGUGGAAGCGUCUGGAAAGGCGCGCGAUACAGGGUGACAGCCCCGUACACAAAAAUGCACAUGCUGUGAGCUCGAUGAGUAGGGCGGGACACGUGGUAUCCUGUCUGAAUAUGGGGGGACCAUCCUCCAAGGCUAAAUACUCCUGACUGACCGAUAGUGAACCAGUACCGUGAGGGAAAGGCGAAAAGAACCCCGGCGAGGGGAGUGAAAAAGAACCUGAAACCGUGUACGUACAAGCAGUGGGAGCACAGAGCAAUCUGUGUGACUGCGUACCUUUUGUAUAAUGGGUCAGCGACUUAUAUUCUGUAGCAAGGUUAACCGAAUAGGGGAGCCGAAGGGAAACCGAGUCUUAACUGGGCGUUAAGUUGCAGGGUAUAGACCCGAAACCCGGUGAUCUAGCCAUGGGCAGGUUGAAGGUUGGGUAACACUAACUGGAGGACCGAACCGACUAAUGUUGAAAAAUUAGCGGAUGACUUGUGGCUGGGGGUGAAAGGCCAAUCAAACCGGGAGAUAGCUGGUUCUCCCCGAAAGCUAUUUAGGUAGCGCCUCGUGAAUUCAUCUCCGGGGGUAGAGCACUGUUUCGGCAAGGGGGUCAUCCCGACUUACCAACCCGAUGCAAACUGCGAAUACCGGAGAAUGUUAUCACGGGAGACACACGGCGGGUGCUAA
rnacentral:rRNA from 1 species